AUUGAACGCUGGCGGCAUGCCUUACACAUGCAAGUCGAACGGCAGCACGGGGCAACCUGGUGGCGAGUGGCGCACGGGUGAGUAAUGCAUCGGAACGUACCUUUCAGUGGGGGAUAACGUAGCGAAAGUUACGCUAAUACGGCAUAUUCUGUGAGCAGUAGAGCAGGGGAUUGCAAGUCCUAGCGCUGAUCGAGGGGCGGAUGUCAGAGUAGCUAGGUGGUGAGGUAAAGGCUCACCAAGGCGACGAUCUGUAGCGGGUCUGAGAGGAUGAACCGCCACACUGGAACUGAGACACGGUCCAGACUCCUACGGGAGGCAGCAGUGGGGAAUUUUGGACAAUGGGGGCAACCCUGAUCCAGCCAUGCCGCGUGAGUGAAGAAGGCCUUCGGGUUGUAAAGCUCUUUCGGCCGGGAAGAAAUCGCACGGGCUAAUACCCUGUGUGGAUGACGGUACCGGAAUAAGAAGCACCGGCUAACUACGUGCCAGCCGCCGCGGUAACAC
rnacentral:rRNA from 1 species